GACGAACGCUGGCGGCGUGCUUAACACAUGCAAGUCGAACGGUUCUGCCCUGUUUUUUGCGGGGUGGGUCAGUGGCGACCGGGUGAGUAACACGUGAGUAACCUGCCCCUCACUUCUGGAUAACCGCUUGAAAGGGUGGCUAAUACGGGGUGUUCUGGCUGUGCCGCAUGGUGUGGCUGGGAAAGAUUCACUUUUGUGGUGUUUUGGUGGGGGAUGGGCUCGCGGCCUAUCAGCUUGUUGGUGGGGUGAUGGCCUGCCAAGGCUUUGACGGGUAGCCGGCAUGAGAGGGUGGGCGGUCACACUGGGAAUGAGAUACGGCCCAGACUGCUGCGGGAGGCAGCAGUGGGGGGUAUUGCACAAUGGGCGGAAGCCUGAUGCAGCGACGUCGCGUGAGGGAUGGAGGCCUUCGGGUUGUGAACCUCUUUCGCCGGUGAAGAAGGUCCUGCUCUUUGUGGUGGGGUUGACGGUAGCCGGGUUAUGAAGCGCCGGCUAACUACGUG
rnacentral:rRNA from 1 species